rnacentral:rRNA from 2 species
AUACAUGCAGUCGAGCGAACUGAUUAGAAGCUUGCUUCUAUGACGUUAGCGGCGGACGGGUGAGUAACACGUGGGCAACCUGCCUGUAAGACUGGGAUAACUUCGGGAAACCGAAGCUAAUACCGGAUAGGAUCUUCUCCUUCAUGGGAGAUGAUUGAAAGAUGGUUUCGGCUAUCACUUACAGAUGGGCCCGCGGUGCAUUAGCUAGUUGGUGAGGUAACGGCUCACCAAGGCAACGAUGCAUAGCCGACCUGAGAGGGUGAUCGGCCACACUGGGACUGAGACACGGCCCAGACUCCUACGGGAGGCAGCAGUAGGGAAUCUUCCGCAAUGGACGAAAGUCUGACGGAGCAACGCCGCGUGAGUGAUGAAGGCUUUCGGGUCGUAAAACUCUGUUGUUAGGGAAGAACAAGUAUGAGAGUAACUGCUUGUACCUUGACGGUACCUAACCAGAAAGCCACGGCUAACUACGUGCCAGCAGCCGCGGUAAUACGUAGGUGGCAAGCGUUAUCCGGAAUUAUUGGGCGUAAAGCGCGCGCAGGCGGUUUCUUAAGUCUGAUGUGAAAGCCCACGGCUCAACCGUGGAGGGUCAUUGGAAACUGGGGAACUUGAGUGCAGAAGAGAAAAGCGGAAUUCCACGUGUA